UACGUAGGGGGCUAGCGUUGUCCGGAAUCAUUGGGCGUAAAGAGCGCGUAGGCGGCUAGAUAAGUCCGGUGUGAAAGUCACAGGCUCAACCUGUGAAUGCCGCUGGAAACUGUCUGGCUAGAGUCCGGAAGGGGCGAGUGGAAUUCCUGGUGUAGCGGUGAAAUGCGCAGAUAUCAGGAGGAACACCAAUGGCGAAGGCAGCUCGCUGGGACGGUACUGACGCUGAGGAGCGAAAGCAUGGGGAGCGAACAGG
rnacentral:rRNA from 1 species